rnacentral:rRNA from 1 species
GACGAACGCUGGCGGCGUGCUUAACACAUGCAAGUCGAACGGAAAGGCCCUGCUUGCAGGGUACUCGAGUGGCGAACGGGUGAGUAACACGUGGGUGAUCUGCCCUGCACUUCGGGAUAAGCCUGGGAAACUGGGUCUAAUACCGGAUAGGAGCCAUUUUUAGUGUGAUGGUUGGAAAGUUUUUUCGGUGUAGGAUGAGCUCGCGGCCUAUCAGCUUGUUGGUGGGGUAAUGGCCUACCAAGGCGGCGACGGGUAGCCGGCCUGAGAGGGUGGACGGCCACAUGGGGACGGAGAUACGGCCCAGACUCCUACGGGGGGGAGGAGGGGGGAAUAUUGCACAAUGGGGGCAAGCCUGAGGCAGGGACCCCGGGGGGGGGAUGACGGCCUUCGGGUUGUAACUCCUUUCGCUAGGGACGAAGCUUUUUGUGACGGUACCUAGAUAAGAAGCACCGGCUAACUACGU